GUGCUGGCCGACAUUGCG
rnacentral:misc_RNA from 1 species